rnacentral:rRNA from 1 species
GACGAACGCUGGCGGCGUGCUUAACACAUGCAAGUCGAACGGAAAGGCCCUGCUUUUGUGGGGUGCUCGAGUGGCGAACGGAUGAGUAACACGUGAGUAACCUGCCCUUGACUUUGGGAUAACUUCAGGAAACUGGGGCUAAUACCGGAUAGGAGCUCCUGCUGCAUGGUGGGGGUUGGAAAGUUUCGGUGGUUGGGGAUGGACUCGCGGCUCAUCAGCUUGUUGGUGGGGUAGUGGCUUACCAAGGCUUUGACGGGUAGCCGGCCUGAGAGGGUGACCGGCCACAUUGGGACUGAGAUACGGCCCAGACGCCUACGGGAGGCAGCAGUGGGGAAUAUUGCACAAUGGGCGGAAGCCUGAUGCAGCAACGCCGCGUGCGGGAUGACGGCCUUCGGGUUGUAAACCGCGUUCGCCUGUGACGAAGCGUGAGUGACGGUAAUGGGUAAAGAAGCACCGGCUAACUACGUG